rnacentral:rRNA from 1 species
GACGAACGCUGGCGGCGUGCUUAACACAUGCCAGUCGAACGGAAAGGCCCUGCUUUUGUGGGGUGCUCGAGUGGCGAACGGGUGAGUAACACGUGAGUAACCUGCCCUUGACUUUGGGAUAACUUCAGGAAACUGGGGCUAAUACCGGAUAGGAGCUCCUGCUGCAUGGUGGGGGUUGGAAAGUUUCGGCGGUUGGGGAUGGACUCGCGGCUUAUCAGCUUGUUGGUGGGGUAGUGGCUUACCAAGGCUUUGACGGGUAGCCGGCCUGAGAGGGUGACCGGCCACAUUGGGACUGAGAUACGGCCCAGACUCCUACGGGAGGCAGCAGUGGGGAAUAUUGCACAAUGGGCGGAAGCCUGAUGCAGCAACGCUGCGUGCGGGAUGACGGCCUUCGGGUUGUAAACCGCUUUCGCCUGUGACGAAGCGUGAGUGACGGUAAUGGGUAAAGAAGCACCGGCUAACUACGUG